ensembl:lncRNA
CCGGACGUGGAGACCAGGAGAUCCUGUCAGAGCAAAGGCAAAACAGAGAUUGAAUGUCAGAACUACAUCAGGGUCCUGCUGGUGAACAAGACGGAGGUCAUGACCUGCGGAACCAACGCUUUCCAGCCGCUCAGCGUGCUGGAGCGCGUGAACGGCGUGGCGCGCUGCCCGUACGACCCGCGCCACAACUCCACGGCGGUGGUGACGGAGAGCGGCGAGCUGUACGCCGCCACGGUCAUCGACUUCUCCGGCCGCGACCCCGUCAUCUACCGCAGCCUGGGCGGCAUGCCGCCUCUCCGGACCGCCCAGUACAACUCAAAGUGGCUCAACGAGCCCCACUUCAUCUCGGCCUACGACAUCGGCCUCUUCACCUUCUUCUUCCUGCGGGAGAACGCCGUGGAGCACGACUGCGGCAAGACGGUGUACUCGCGCGUGGCGCGCGUCUGCAAGAACGACAUCGGCGGCCGCUUCCUGCUGGAGGACACGUGGACCACGUUCAUGAAGGCGCGGCUCAACUGCUCGCGCUCGGGCGAGAUCCCCUUCUACUACAACGAGCUGCAGAGCACCUUCUACCUGCCGGAGCAGGACCUCAUCUACGGCAUCUUCACCACCAAUGUCAACAGUAUUGCAGCGUCCGCAGUGUGUGCCUUCAACCUGAGCGCCAUCACCCAGGCUUUCAACGGGCCCUUCCGCUCGCAGGAGAACCCCCGCUCCACCUGGCUUCCCACGCCCAACCCCAUCCACAACUUCCAGUGUGGUACUAUAGACGAUCAGGGUCCCAACGAGGGUCUGACGGAGCGCAGCCUGCAGGACGCCCAGAGGCUCUACCUGAUGAACGACGUGGUCCAGCCGGAGUCUGUCGAUCCGCUGGUGAUGCAGGACGACGUUCGCUUCUCCAACCUGGUCGUGGACAUUGUCCAGGGCAUGGAGACGCUCUACCACGUUAUGUAUAUCAGCACAGAACCUACAAGGCUGUUACUGGAGGAGAUGGAGCUCCUCCCACCGGGGGUUCGGGAACCAAUCCUUAGCCUGCAGAUCCUGCACAGCGACAGGUCGCUCUUCGUGGGACUCAACGACAGAGUCCUGAAGAUCCCGCUGGAGCGGUGCUCCACCUACAAAACUGAGACGCUGUGCUUGGAGGCCAGGGAUCCCUACUGUGGCUGGGACUUCCGGCAGCGGAGGUGCACCACGCUGGAGGACAGCUCCAACAUGAGCCAGUGGAAGCAGAACAUCACCGCCUGUCCGCUGCGGAACCAAACCACCAAUGGCGGCUUCGGGGCCUGGGCGCCCUGGCAACCGUGCAACAACGACGACGGCGUGGAUGGCGUGAGCUCCUGUUUGUGUCGCUCCAGGACCUGCGACAGCCCCGCCCCCCGAUGUGGAGGCAGGAACUGCGAGGGCUCCACCAUCGAAGUCGCCAACUGCUCCAGAAAUGGAGGCUGGACGCCCUGGUCGUCGUGGGGACAGUGCAGCACGACCUGCGGCACGGGCUUCGAGCUGCGGCAGCGCUCCUGCAACAACCCUUCGCCGCGACACGGCGGCCGCGUGUGCGUGGGGCCGAGCAGGGACGAGAGGUUCUGUAAUGAAGGGGUGGCCUGUCCGCAGCCCAUCUUCUGGACGCCGUGGGGAUCGUGGACCAAGUGCAGCACCGAGUGCGGGGGAGGCGUCCACUCCAGGGUCCGCACUUGUGAGAACGGCAACAGCUGCCCAGGAUGUGCACUGGAAUACAAGGCGUGUAACCUGGAGGCGUGUCCGGAGGUCAAGAGGAACACGCCGUGGACGCCCUGGAUGCCCGUCAACGUGACCCAGGGCGGCGCUCGCCAGGAGCAGCGGAUGCGCUACAUGUGCCGGGCGCACCUGUCCGAUCCCCACGAGCUGCAGAUCGGACGCAGGAAGGUGGAGACGCGCUUCUGUCCCAACGACGGCACGGCCGCCUGCGAGACGGACAGUAAACCGUUUUCUCUAGCGGCCGGCUCCGGCUGGUCGUCGUGGGAGACCUGGUCCAGCUGCUCGCAGAGCUGCGCCAAGGGCUACCGCACCCGUCGGCGAUCGUGCGCCGGGCCGGAGGGAAAGAGCGCCCCCGUCGCCUGCCGGGGCUCGCCCGUCGAGUACCAGGACUGCAACGUGCAGGCCUGUCCCGUGAAAGGUGCGUGGUCCUGCUGGUCGUCCUGGUCCCUGUGCUCCGUGGGCUGCGGCGGCGGUCACUACCAGCGCACGCGCUCCUGUAACAGCCCGGCGCCCGCCAGCGGGGGGGACAUCUGCAUCGGACUGCACACCGAGGAGGCCCUCUGCAACACACACACCUGCGACGGUGGCUGGAUGGCCUGGUCGCUGUGGUCGGCCUGCGAUGAUUCGGGCUCGCAGAUGAGGAGUCGGGUGUGCGGCGCUCAGGGCAACAGCCCGUGUGUGGGCAACAGCACCCAGCGGCGAGACUGCAACGAAAUACCUGGUGAGUGGGUCACACCGCGUGCAUUGCGGCCUCCUUCGACAGGUCGAGCGUUCACCUCCAUCCACCUGAUCGCCACCGGUGUGUCCUGUUUCCUCGGGGCGGGCCUGCUGUCCUUCCUGAUCUACGUCUACUGCCAGCGCUUCCACAAGCCCUCGCAGGAGUCCGCCGUCAUCCACCCCACCACGCCCAACCACCUCAACUACAAGGGCAACACCACGCCAAAGAACGAGAAGUACACGCCCAUGGAGUUCAAGGUAUUCUUUUAG